GUCGAACGAUGAUGCCCAGCUUGCUGGGCGGAUUAGUGGCGAACGGGUGAGUAAUACGUGAGUAACCUGCCCUUGACUCUGGGAUAAGCCUGGGAAACUGGGUCUAAUACUGGAUACUACCUCUUACCGCAUGGUGGGUGGUGGAAAGGGUUUUACUGGUUUUGGAUGGGCUCACGGCCUAUCAGCUUGUUGGUGGGGUAAUGGCUCACCAAGGCGACGACGGGUAGCCGGCCUGAGAGGGUGACCGGCCACACUGGGACUGAGACACGGCCCAGACUCCUACGGGAGGCAGCAGUGGGGAAUAUUGCACAAUGGGCGGAAGCCUGAUGCAGCGACGCCGCGUGAGGGAUGACGGCCUUCGGGUUGUAAACCUCUUUCAGUAGGGAAGAAGCGAGAGUGACGGUACCUGCAGAAGAAGCGCCGGCUAACUACGUGCCAGCAGCCGCGGUAAUACGUAGGGCGCAAGCGUUGUCCGGAAUUAUUGGGCGUAAAGAGCUCGUAGGCGGUUUGUCGCGUCUGCUGUGAAAGCCCGGGGCUCAACCCCGGGUCUGCAGUGGGUACGGGCAGACUAGAGUGCAGUAGGGGAGACUGGAAUUCCUGGUGUAGCGGUGAAAUGCGCAGAUAUCAGGAGGAACACCGAUGGCGAAGGCAGGUCUCUGGGCUGUUACUGACGCUGAGGAGCGAAAGCAUGGGGAGCGAACAGGAUUAGAUACCCUGGUAGUCCAUGCCGUAAACGUUGGGCACUAGGUGUGGGGGACAUUCCACGUUUUCCGCGCCGUAGCUAACGCAUUAAGUG
rnacentral:rRNA from 1 species